CAUACUAAUAUGCCUUCUUCUUUCUUAAAUGUGCAGACUAACAGGGAAUGGGUCCACCUGCCUUGGAGAGGAACGGAGAAGCCUUGGCCUUACGCCGUGGUGGGAGGCAGCACACGGAGGAGGGGGCCAGCACAGCCACAGGGAUGUCUGCGCCCGCCACGGCCACUCCGUGUGCCUAGGAGGGAGCUAUAUUUGGAAAAAUCAUUAUCACAAGCUUCCUUGCUGGUAAAGGAGCUCAGCAGAACAGGAGGAGGACAGGGAAUCGGAGGAAACACUGCGAGGAUAUGAAAUGAAAGAGAUGGUGCAGCAAGUUAAGGAAGAUGACUCCAGUGGAAGAACAGAAGAAGCUGCUGUAUCUCUCACGAUGCUACUGAGAUGAGUCAGCUUGGGGGAGCCAAGUUAUCGGAGGUCACCCAGGCAGCCCACACGAGCCUGAGGUCACCCGUGUGGCCCUUUGAAAAGGGACAGGACCCAGCACUGCAGAUCAUGGAUGCUCUCAGCUGUGCAGGUGAUGCAAG